rnacentral:rRNA from 1 species
UACGGAGGAUGCAAGCGUUAUCCGGAAUGAUUGGGCGUAAAGCGUCCGCAGGUGGCUGUGUAAGUCUGCUGUUAAAUAGUGAGGCUCAACCUCAUAAAGGCAGUGGAAACUACACGGCUAGAGUGCAGUAGGGGUAGAGGGAAUUCCCGGUGUAGCGGUGAAAUGCGUAGAGCUCGGGAAGAACAUCGGUGGCGAAAGCGCUCUACUGGACUGCAACUGACACUCAGGGACGAAAGCUAGGGGAGCGAAUGGG